GUCUACAACAAUUUCACCCCAAAUGUGCCGGAUCUCAUCUCAUCUUGGAAGCUAAGCUGGGUCGGGUCUGGUUAGUACUUGGAUGGCAGAAACCUCUUUCUUAAGAGAAUUUUAAAACAUUAUAGCCU
rnacentral:rRNA from 1 species